UACGGAGGGAGCGAGCGUUGUUCGGAAUUACUGGGCGUAAAGCGUGCGCAGGCGGCUUUGUAAGUCAGAAGUGAAAUCCCAGGGCUUAACCUUGGAAUUGCUUUUGAAACUAUUUAGCUAGAGUAUCGGAGAGGUUGGCGGAAUUCCCAGUGUAGAAGUGAAAUUCGUAGAUAUUGGGAGGAACACCAGUGGCGUAAGCGGCCAACUAGACGAUAACUGACGCUCAGGCACGAAAGUAUGGGGAUCAAACAGG
rnacentral:rRNA from 1 species